rnacentral:lncRNA from 1 species
GACUCUCACAAUGUGGCCCUCAUCUCUCUUUCCUCAACCUAUUUAUUCUACCAAAAAGAUGAUCCAUGGGCCAAUAGAUUCCAAAGGUUAUGAUCCUUUGAAUUCUUAACCAUUUGUUCCACUAACAUCCUACUGUUACCAAUUAAACUACCUAGCCAUCAGUCUAAAUCUUAAGAUUAUCAAUAACCAAUCAGUAACUUACCACAAAGUUUAUUUACCUAUUCUAUAGAGCAUAACCGCCAUUUAGACCAAUCUACAAUUUAUCUCAAAAUGAGUUAAUUGAAUUCAAGGAGUAUAUUGAAGAGAAUUUGGCCAAAAACUUCAUACGCCAU